rnacentral:tRNA from 1 species
GCGAAGGUGGCGGAAUUGGUAGACGCGCUAGCUUCAGGUGUUAGUGUUCGUAAGGACGUGGGGGUUCAAGUCCCCCCCCUCGCA